rnacentral:rRNA from 1 species
CCUACGGGAGGCAGCAGUGAGGAAUAUUGGUCAAUGGACGAGAGUCUGAACCAGCCAAGUAGCGUGAAGGAUGACUGCCCUAUGGGUUGUAAACUUCUUUUAUAUGGGAAUAAAAUGUUCCACGUGUGGGAUUUUGUAUGUACCAUAUGAAUAAGGAUCGGCUAACUCCGUGCCAGCAGCAGCGGUAAUACGGAGGAUCCGAGCGUUAUCCGGAUUUAUUGGGUUUAAGGGGAGCGUAGGUGGAUUGUUAAGUCAGUUGUGAAAGUUUGCGGCUCAACCGUAAAAUUGCAGUUGAAACUGGCAGUCGUGAGUACAGUAGAGGUGGGCGGAAUUCGUGGUGUAGCGGUGAAAUGCUUAGAUAUCACGAAGAACUCCGAUUGCGAAGGCAGCUCACUGGACUGCAACUGACACUGAGGCUCGAAAGUGUGGGUAUCAAACAGGAUUAGAUACCCCUGUAGUC